CAGAGGAAUCCACGAAGCCCAGAGUUGCAGAUUUUGGUUGAGGAUUUUGGACUUGAGAUUGAUACUCCAUCAUUAUUCACUGGAUUUGGAACUUGCCUUACCUGAAUUGGAGAUUAUUAGAUCCUUCGAGUAGCUUUGUUGCUGGUUGUGGGUGAUCUCGGCUGAGGCUUCCAGCAUUUGUGACCUUCUUGCUGCCAGGGAAUUGCGCUAGAGAGCUGUCGCCUUCGGCUGCUGCUGCUGCUGACCUUGAUCGUGGCAAGGGCGUUGCGAGUUAGAGCCCUUCCAGACGAGUUGCAGAGCUAGAGGAGCACCAGCUACAGGUAGUUGUAGUUUUUUGGUCUUUACAUAUAGUUGUUGUAGCUCGCCAGAGCGAGUAUUUGUAUACCCUGGAUGACAUGUAUGUAUUGAACCACAGUUUAUAUAUAUGGUUUAUUUUCCUAGCUGCUCUA